rnacentral:rRNA from 1 species
UACGGAGGGGGCUAGCGUUGUUCGGAAUUACUGGGCGUAAAGCGCGCGUAGGCGGUUUUGCAAGCCAGAGGUGAAAUGCCUGAGCUCAACUUAGGAAUUGCCUUUGGGACUGCGAGGCUUUGAGGACUGGAGAGGUGAGUGGAAUUCCCAGUGUAGAGGUGAAAUUCGUAGAUAUUGGGAAGAACACCGGUGGCGAAGGCGGCUCACUGGCCAGUUUCUGACGCUGCAGCGCGAAAGCGUGGGGAUCAAACAGG